rnacentral:lncRNA from 1 species
GGCGGGCGGCGGAGCUUCCCACGCGGCCCGGGAGGACGCGGCCUGCGGGGCGGGGCGGGCACUGAGCCUCCAGCCGCGUCUCUCUGCCGCACUGCGGAGCUGCCGUCCAGCAGCAAGCGCAUCUGCUUUUCUCUGACUAGGAGAGAACAUCUGGCUUAAGCCAUCAUGAAGCUGAGUUGCCCCCCGACUUUCCCUCAGUAUAAGCACCUGAAAUCCGCGAUGCUUGCCUUCCCUGCAGUGCCCGUGAGGAAGCCAAAGCCACCUCCCAGCUCGGGGUCUAAACAUUGCUCUGCUUCCACCCCCACCUGCCCAGUAUCUGUUGUCCCGGUUCCAGCCAGGGAUAUUUUUAAAUGUGAAUUUGAUCUUGUGUCUCCUCGACCAAAGCCUUCCUGGGGCUUCCCUUUGCCCCUGAAUGCAGUGACUUUCUUGUGGACCACACUGUCUCAUUUAGUCUGACCACUCUCAUCCCUUAGCCACUUCCUGGCAAGCUGCCCUGGCUCUGUUAGUUCAGAUUCACCAAGCCACACCUGCCUCUGUGCCUUCACACUUACAACUUUCCCAAAACUUCGAGUAAUUCUCCAAGCAGUCUUCUUGCCUUAGUGUCCCCAUGUCGCCAAGUCUCUACGACAGGGGACAGUGGCACGUCACAUGGCAGAGCCCUUCCCCAGACACCCUGCAUAACAGGAGUGCUUCCCAGGAGCAGGGCCCACACCCAUUUGAUUGCUUUCAGAGCACUCACCGCCUGCCUUGCAUUUGUUUACCCAACUGACAGCUUGCACCCUAACGCAGAUGCAAGCCCCACAGCACAGGGCGUGUUGUCAUGUCCACUGCUGUCACACCAGGACAUGGGAUGUCUGCAGUGGGCCAGGUACCUGACAAGUGACUGUUGGAUGAACUGGCUCCUCACAUGCUAUCAGUCUGUCACACUGUUAGGCCAAGCCAAGACCCCAGAUGUAAACAGCACCUGAGGAAACACCAGGAGAAAGGUGUGGAAUGUGCUCCCCUCAGCGGUGGCAGCCCCAACACUGGGAACAGCCCACAUGCCCCUGGUGUUGAACAAGAAUGCUCUUCAGUGGAGGGUAGGGAAGUCCCACUGUGCUUUUUUCCUGCACUACCAGAAUAUUAAAGCACGUGAAAAGUACUUUUAAUGUUUCCUACUUCCAUUUAGAAUAGAACUGGAGAAGACUGAUGAGUGGAAAAAGCGAAACAGCAAAGUGACCUGAUUGAUUAUUACUGUGCUGAUGUCUACACUGAGUCGGCCUUAGAGGUCCUUCUGUGUUAGGGCUGAAGAACGGGCUGCUCAAUCUGUAGAGUUUAGUAGGUUUUGAUUUGGCUGCAUUCUUUCAAAAAUUUUUGCCUUAAAGAGAUAGUAAACGGUCCGGUGGAUACUGAGAAAUCAUUUCUCCACUGAGCAUCAUGAGGUGGCAGUGGUAGUUCUUCCUAGCAGCAGAUGCUAAUCCAGUGGAUGACUCAUCAUUCAUUUUUGCUCAUAACAUUUGAAGAUGAGACACUGUUGCUUAACCUAAACUCUUGUUUUUUGUUUUUUUGAGACAAGGUCCUGCUGUGUAGUCUAGUGUGGCCUUGAACUCACCAUGUAGCCCAAGUGGGCUUCAAACUUGCAGUGGCUCCUCCUACCUCAGCCUCCUAUGUGCUGAGAUUAUAGGCAUAUGCUACUUAAUCUAAACUCUUAUCCCAAGUGUGUCAUUUGUUAACACCUCAAGUGGGAUUUUUCCUGGAUAAAGGCUGGGUCAUAGUCAAAAGUAAAUGUGUCUAUGUAGGGUGGUGAGGACAUAGAAAUAUAGGAUAGGGAGGGUUGCAGACCUCAGGGAAUUGGAAGUCUGAGCGAGAAGGUGUCUUUGUUGCCUUGUCCUCGAAGGCACACAAGGCACACAAUACCUAACACUUGUAAAGUAACCGAGGCGAGGUUCGCUUUGGCUCGAGGUUACAGUCUGUGCUCCACCAGCUCCAGGGCAUAAGCAGCGCAGCACAGGGGCUCGGGGAGGAAAGCUGCUCAGGCUUGGGGUCUAAAGCUGCUCAGGCUUGGGGUCGAGCUCCAGAGAAGGGAAGAAGUGGGAGUGAGAAGCACCGGUCAGGCCACGCCCCAGCGGCCCGGCCCUACCCACCAGACCCCGCCUCCAGUAGCCCGAGGGCUGUGUCUCCCCGGGGUCCAAUCCUCUUUAAAAGCCCCGCCCAGAACACAAGAGGCCUCUGGGACAUUCUAGAUCUGAGCGCGACAGAAAGUGAGCGGAUGCACCUGAAACAAGCGGGAGAGAGCAUCACAGAGCCCUUGCGAGUUGGCCUUGGUGCCAUCCAGGAGCCUAGGGAGGUUCAGCCCUGGAGUCCCAGGAGAACCUCCCGGCCAUCAGCAGAGGAACAGUCUGCGGAAGGGUUGCUGAGGACCUCGAACAGAUUUACCCUCCCCCAUUAAACAUCUGAAGCAGACGGAAUACAUACGGGAUAGUGUUCAGACGCUGGACAGUGAGCCGGAGGAGCAGGGUCCCUGGAUGAAGCCCAGCGGGGGAGAUGGGUGCGAUCCGUGUCCCACUCACUCGGAGUCCGCAGGUCACAGCCAGGGACGGAAGCAACAGGAAGUCGCCCUGAACCAGAGGCGGGCUGUAAAGUUGGGGUAGCCAACAAGUAGAAUUCACAGAGCAGAGUAUAGGCAAGGGAAGAGCUCUGUGUGUGUGUGUGUGUGUGUGUGUGUGUGUGUCGGGGGGAAUUCCAGACAUCUGUGGGGGCCUCCUUCAGAUCUGCUGAGUGACAGCAAGCACAUGCGUGGAAGCACGUGGGGGAAAUUUAUAAUAUUAGCCCAAAGAGAUCAGAUUCCACUGUCUUUAAGGGUAACUGAAGAGUUGUAAGUAAAUCC